rnacentral:lncRNA from 1 species
CACUUUUUUAUUGGGUCAGCACACAGUUAAACUAUUUAAAAGUAAGUAAUACAGUUUAAGAAAAUUUUCAUGAAAACAAAAAUGCACAAAUAUAGCUGCAUCACUAGAUUAUUCAUUUGAAAAAUCUAAAUAUACAAUAUAAAACAUAAGAUUAAUAUAGUACGUUAUUGUCUACAUUAUGUUUGCAGUUUGAAAAUUUAAAUGAUGUCAGCCCUUAAACUGUUCAAAACAUGCUGUUUGAAUACUCUGAAACACGUUUUUUUCCAUUCCAACGGAUGUGUAACCACCGACGGCUAUACCUGCUUGUAACUAACGUCUUAAUGGUUGACUAGGUCUGUCGGAGGUGUUGUAGGUUAUGUUUUGAAAAUUCUAAUUUGUUUUUAUCUAAACAAUUAAAACCUGGUUUUGCAAUGAUGUAGUUUAUAUUGUAAGCCUUAGAAUGAUUUACUGCAGCAUAUUUUAUGGAAUUACAGUAUGUGACAAAUUUCUAUUGUGUGAUUCAGUUGCAAUAACACCAAACGACUUCGAUAACAGUAAACGUGUCAUUCGUAAACCUGUCUCACACAUGGCGCGGCGUAUCUUAAUUUGGAGCAUCCUUGAAAUUCUUGAAAAUAACAAAAGACAAAACGCAAUGAUCAUAUCAACAACAUUAAUUAUUCAAUUUCACAAGACAUACCACACAAAUAAAGAAUAUCGAAUCCUGGUUUUUUUCCUAUACCCGACACUAGUCUCUGAGUUCAUUAAGUGUAGCUCAGUGUCAGUAUUUAAAGUUUCCAUGGAAAUUUGUUUACCACUGUUAAAGUUAUAAUUCCACUUCGUAGAUUCUAAUAAUUCUGGAAGUAUUAUUUAAGUCCAACAGAAAGAUCUAAUAAUUCUGGAAGUAUUAUUUAAGUCCAACAGAAAGAUCUAAUAAUUCAAUCAGUAUCUACAAAUUGAUUUCUUAACUGCAUAAACCAUUACUUAAUAAACAACUAUUAGUUAAGGUUCAUAUGACUUCAUGUACAACCGCAAUUUGUAUUCGUGUGCAUGUUAAACGAAUUUCGUUGUAAAGUCCUUCAAUACAGCAGAAACAAUAUUUUCCCAAAGACCAAAAAAGUGAAAAAGUAUAUUUGAACAUAUAAACUAGAGUUAGAGGAGGGGAUAAGGUCCCUACGCAAUACAAGGAGGUGUUGUCGUUGAAGAUAGAAAUAUAAGAAUUUCUAUGUACAGGGGUCUAAAUACAGCACAAACAACAUUUUCCAAAUGACCAAAAAGGUAAAAAUGGUUAUUUUAACAAAACACAUUUGACUAACAGGUCAAACAACUGAUAAUCUUAAACCCUUCUUACUGUCAUUGUCCUACCUAGUACAGGCGAUAACGAGUGACGAAGGGACAAAGAUGAUCAAUGGGAACCCUUUUGGCCAGCUCUUUCUGAGGACUCGUCAUCUUGUCAGGAGCUUGAACAUUGUGAACUUAUGAAAGGAUUCCGCAGUUCUUGUAAAUGUGGAAAAUCGGUUCUUCCAUGCACUACUUUUUUUAUUGUUGUGGUCAUUGUGAAUAGACAUGUAUUAAUGGCCAUAUAUUAUUAGUUUUAGAGAUAUUUCAAUACUUGAGCGAGUACUUUCUUCAUCAAUCUAUCCACAAAUCAAUAUGAUCAUUCCGAUACAGAUGUAAUACUCAUCUAUGAAAUUUACGCCAUGCUGUAUUAACCGGAAUUGUUAAUUUUGUUUUAAAAUAUUUUAAACAUAAAAACGAAUUAGUGGUUUUGGGAUAACUUAAGGCAAACAAUUUAAUGACCGGUAAUUGCGUUAUUAAAAAAAAAUAUGGUAUUUAUAUAUCCAGCAUAUUCUAUAUAACAGAAGUAAGCUUUUUAUAAUAUAUGUUCUAUAUAUUGAAUUCAUGAGAAGCGCCACCGAAGGGUUACUGCACACUGUAAUAAUGGAGGCAAAACAUUUAAACACAUUUCAAUAACCCUCACUAAAUAUACGCUUAUUUCAGUACAAUGUUCGCAAUAUUGAAAUGUUUCCGGAAGUAGGGAUUUUAAAGACUUAUAAUUCAAAAACUAUAAAUAUAUCCAAAAGAAGCCCAGAUUCAAGGUAUAUGCAUUAUAUAAUGAUAGCAGUAUGACUAUAACACCUUUGUGCAUACCAGCCUUCGAGAUUAGACUUAUUCACGUUUAUAUAUAAUUAUAUAUAUAUAUAAUUUUACCGGAAUCAGGUCAUUUCUUUUUAAGAUUGCCUCUCUAUCUGAAAUCAAAAAUAAAUACUAGAGGAAGCUAUGUGGCAAGUUUCAUGCUUGCAGCAGAAUGUUCACAAUUCUUCUGAAAUAUGUGUUUAGCCGCUGCAUUAAAUCGGUAUUAUAUGAUGCAUUACAAUUAGAUAAAGGGUCAUCCAGAGCAUUAUUUGCUUCCUGGUAUACAACUGUGUUUCCAAUGAUUCAAACAUUACUUAAUACCAAUUUUUCUCUGUAUGCAUAUAAAAUCUUGAGAAUUAUCGGAUUUUUUAAUUUUAUUCUGUUGUAUCGUUUGCAAAUUCCGAUUUAAUCAAUCUUGUUUCCAUGUUCACUUUUGCAAAGAAUUACAUGCAGGCAUCAUAGAUUACUGUCCUAACAUUUUCUCUUUUUAUUCAAAAUGUCAAACCAUCACUUAACAAGUUGUUGUCACAUCUCAAAAAAGGUUUUAUAACAGUUAAUAGUUGGCUCCUAAAAUCAAAACAUACCUCAUUUGGACUUUAAUAUAUAAAUAAGUGCAAUAUUUGCAUCAUAAAGCUGUAUAUUUGUUAACUCAUGGAGGAUUGUAUAAUACAGCUCGCAUUAAUAUUAGUAAAUAAAACAAAUUGUCCGCGUUCCCGCAUUUCUCCUUUUUCUUCUUCAAAGUAUUGGAACAUCACUGAAAAUCUGAUCUCAUCCCAGGAUAAUUUUACAACAAAAAAUGUGCCAAAAGCAACAAAAUCGAACUGUAUCAUUUAUCAGUAGUUAUCUGAACUCUACAAUUAUAAGAAUAUGAUUGGUUAAAAGCAACCGCAUGGAGACUUUGUAUAUUCCAUAUAAGGUAAGUUGGUGGGACUUAUUUUAAUCCACGACUAGUAAUGAUGCUACGUUCCUUUAUUAAAACCACACGUAUGUGAGGAAAAAAGCUAAAUAAUACAAUAGAAGAAGAUAUUGAGGAUGAACGAUUUAAAUAAAUUCAUAAAACACAUUCAAAGGUUACAAGUUGUUAGUCUUGACUUUGUUUGUGUUAGGAAAAAAAAGUAGGUUCUUAAAACUAAGUAUUAAAGACUUAAUAACUAUGUCUGAAUACCACAUAUUAAGAUAGUCGGUAAUAUAAAAGUGUUUCACAGUAAGCUAGCAACCGAAUACAAUACUUAUGGGGUCAUAAAUUCCAUGUGGGGAUUCGAGGUUCGAUCUCAGUCCAUUUGGAAUUUACUGACCCUAUAUCUAUAUAUAGUAUUAUGUCACUAUUACAUUAUAUAACAGUAUAUAUAUAUAUAUAUAUAUAUAAAGAUCACUAUAAUAAAUGUUCUUGUGUAUAGAAAUAUAUAUAGAUUACUAAAAAAUCCAACAUUUCCGGUAUGAAUAGUUUUAAUUCACUAGUACUUUCAUGUUUAAAUAACAAUCUUCAGGUGAAACUAUACAUGAUUAACGUAACUAUGUAACGGUAGGUAUGUAACGUCAUAGUUGUCGUUGAGUAUAUAAAGGGAGAUAUAUAUACAACUCGUCUAAACAUCAACCCAACAAUGUUAGAUCUGUAAAUUUGCUUUCGCAAAUUUUUGGUUCUUCCCUCGCCGGGAUUCGAACCCAUGCUACUGUGAUAUCGUGACACCAAAUCGCCUGCACUGCAGCCGUCCCGCUAGACCACACGACCGCCUGGGCUCUCAAUAAAAGAGCUCUCGGUGGGCAUGUGUUACCUUUCCACGUCAGUUUUAAUCUAGCGGCGUACUACAGUACAUGAUAUAUGAGACAUGUAGAUGUUAUUGUUACAGAUCAGUUAAAUUAUCUAUAGUAAAGAAUCCUACAAAUUAAUGUAAGAUACAGUCACAGAAAAUUAUAUAUAUAGGCGUAACAAAUGAUAGACUGCAUAUAGAUGACUGCAUAAUAUUUUGGAGCAGAUCAGAAGAAGAUUUAUACAAAUUUAAAGAUCUGAUCAACGCCUUACAUCCGUCAAUUUAAUUCGUCAUGGAAACCAGUGGUACACAACUACCAUUUUGGAUAUCCUCAUUUUAAAAUCAGGCAUACAAAUAACAACGGAUAUUUAUUAUAAAUCCACAGACACCCAUCUGUACUUAAAUUGUCAUUCGUGUCAUCCGUCCCAUACAAAACGAAAUAUACUAUACUGUAUGGCCAGACGAAUUUGUGCUAUAGUAUCGAACAAAAACAUUCGAGAAGUACGUUUGAACGAAUUAAAAGGCUAUUUGACACAACAAUUGUACCCAGAGGGACUAAUUAAAAGUGGAAUACAAAAAUCAAAACUUCUCACACUUAUUACGAACCCCUAAAAUAAAAGACACGGAUGAAAAAAAAAUACCGUUCGUCAGUACACAUGACCCGUAUCUACCGAACGUUUUUAAUACAAUAAAAUCAAACCUUCCGAUUCUUCGUGAAGGUAAAACUAUGAAAACAUUGAAACCUGAAGGAAACUUGAUCUACAGCCGCAGACAACCUAAAAAUUUAAAGAAACACUUAACCAGAGCUCGAUUCGAACCGAAGGUAAGAGACUUUGAAAUAAAAUCUUGCGAAGAUUCAAGAUGCGGUGUUUGCGGUCAAGAUAUAAGAUAUUUGGAAACUGGAAAAAUAAAAACAUUAACAGAUGGCAAAAAAUUUCAUGUGAACGCCAAUAUGACUUGUAAGACAACAAACCUUUUUUACUGCGUCACAUGUCCUGGUUGUCAUAUAAAUUAUAUUGGAAAGACCGGGAAUAGCCUCUGUGAACGGGUGCGAGUUCAUAAAGAACAAAUAAAACACCCACAAGACAGAAACCCGCCAAUUAGUGCCCAUCUUGACACUUGUGGUAAAAAACAUUUUCAAAUAAUACCUUUUUUUAAAUGUAGACGGGAUGAAGCCUAUCGAAAGGAGAUGGAAUGUUAUUUCAUCACAACGUUCCGAUCAAAAUUAAAUCCCGAAAACUUUUAACUAACAAUGACGGAACGUCACAAACCUCCUUAACGACGUCGCCCAUAACGACGUUAUAUCAGUUAUCCUGAAGAGUCCCAAUGGAAAGAUGAAACCGAUUGAAUGGAACUGUUAACUUUUUAACUUAUUUUACUAUUUUAUUUAAUGAAUAUAUAUAUACGCCGCUAGAUUAAAACUGACGAAGGAAGGUAAUACAUGGCCAUGAAGAGCCCAUGUGGUCGUGUGGUCUAGCGGGAUGCUGCAGUGCAGGCGAUUUGGUGUCAUGAUAUCACAGUAGCAUGGGUUCGAAUCCAGGCGAGGGAAGAACCAACAACUUGCGAAAGCAAAUUUACAGAUCUAACAUUGUUGGGUUGAUGUUUAGACGAGUUAUAUAUAUAUAUAUCAGGACGGAUUGAUAGAUACAGAUGGCAGCAAUGCGUGCACUGAAUGACUAAAUAAACUCAUCAUAGAUACUAGGACUAAAACCACUUUGUCGUACAAGAUGUUUUGCUUGACUUUUUUUUUUCAUUCAACAUACCGAUGGUGUCUUUACGUUUUAAGUACGUCUCUCUCAACUCGGGUCAGUCAUUUAUCGUCCAAUUCCGACAGACUAUCAUCGUUUCUCAAGAUUAUACUCGCAAACGGUGUCAACUUUUUAGCUGCAUUCGAUUUAGCGUCACAGCCUUAUAAGCAUUUUAACAAUAUGUCAAUAUGUCUUCAAAAAUAAGUAGACCUAGGUUUGGUCUUCCAUCGACUUUGUUAAUUGUUAUUUUGUAUACUUCAAAUGUCUUUAAUAUUUAGAAGUGCAGUUUUGUAAAACCUCUUCAGAUCAUCAUUCUUGUUUUAAAUGAAAAUUUGUUUUCAUCACCAAAAAUUAAGAACAUAUAUUUUACUGUAUUGAAUUUUGUAUUUCAGAUUUUAAGACGAGUCGAGGAAUUUAUAGGAGUUUUCCGAAUAAAACAUAUCGUAGUGAGACAGAGGAAGUAACAUUGAUUACAGCUUACUUCAACAUUGGGUCUUUCGAAAAAAAACGGAAUACAUUUUAUUCUUUCAGCACAUAUUUAAAUUGGAUGAAACAAUUUGAAUAUGUAAACAAUAAUGUGAUCCUUUAUACAGACGUAAGUGAUAUGGCAGUGCAAUUUAAAUCAAUUCGUAAACACUUUCCACCAUACAUGACAAAGGUAAUUUUGGUGAAUCAAUCAAAUCUCUUGUCUUUUAAAUUGAAACCUAGAUUAGAUGACAUUUAUAAUCGCACAGAAUACCAGAGCUAUUAUCCAAACGUAGUAAAACCUGCAUAUUCGUGUGCAAUGAAUGCAAAGUAUGAAUUAGUGGAGAAAGUAAUAACAGAAAAAAUAUACAAAACAGCAUUUUUGGCAUGGAUUGAUAUAGGCUAUUUCAGAAACAAGAAACCUGGUUAUAUAAAAAUGUUAAUACCAAAAAGUAUAAAAGACGAUCAUAUUUCCUUUUCUCAGGUACAAUUUUUUAAUGAUCAACUCACUCCUACGCAAAUUGUUUAUGAAAGUAGAUUUUACAUAGCUGGUGGAUUUUUCAUUGGCAGACCAAAACAUCUGUUGUUGUUUGCCAGGGAUUAUAGAUUAGCCGUAGAAUGGAUGAUUGAUAUGAACCUAAUGAACUCAGAUCAGCAAGUAUUAUACAUCAUGUAUUCUCCAAAAUCAUCCUUUAACCCAAGGAUACCAAUUCAAACGUUCUUUCAACCGAUUAGUUUGAUAUUAAAAAGCACAUAUAGGUGGUUUUAUCUUG